GAUCUCACAGUCUUUAGUGGCUACAGAAUUCUCAGUUGCCCCAGCAGGUCCAAACAUUUGCCUGUGGCGUUUCCUUUCCUUUCCAUGCCGGGAUUCACUCCCCCUUGGCUGACGCGGAUACGUGCAUUUGCUCCCAGGUGCUUGGCUCCUAAAGUGCUUCUCCUCCUGGGGUUCUGUGGAUCUAAUGGUGGAAUGUCAGUCGGUGUCAGAGGGGAGAUAAUUUGGGAUGUCGGGAGCUUCUGAGUCCUGCCUUAGCAACAGGGACAAAUUGUGAUUUUUGACCUUGAGUUUCACUAAUGAAUUGCUUAUAAUCACCACUUACUUUUAUUUGCAUAAACCUAAGCGUGAAGAAAAGCUUUGGGUCGCUCCUCCUGGUGCCAGGAGACUUUAGAGAGGGUUAGCUGUAAUAAGAGCAGUGAGUGGAAAGUCAGUGGAUGAAAUGCUGCAAAACUAAAUUUAAAUGAGUGAAUUCCGUUUCCUAUAACAAACAUACAGUAAAGAAGUGAAGUUCUCACCAUGAACGUGAGGCCGUGGCUGCUAACAGCCCCUCCUGUGUGCCAGGCACUGCUCCAGCUCUGUCCAGCUCAACCUGUGUGAUCCUCACAGCCACCCCAUGGUGCCCAUUUUACAGACAAAAAAAACUAAGACACAAAGAGGUAAGGAAUUUGCCCGGAGAUUACACAGUUCAUGGAGCAGGGAUUUGAACUCAGUGCCCUUGCCAAGUACCUGGCCACUGCGCCGUGAGUCGUAGAACAGUCCUGUAGGGUGGCCACGGUGUGGGCUUAUCGGUGCGCCUUCUUGCAGGAAAAGCACAAACCAGUUUCAGCGGAGAGCUUCAGCCCAACUACUCAGUUUCACCUGGCAAAGAUGGAGUAGUUUAAAGGAGACUCUACUCCCACCUAGCUAGUUUGUUUGCUCUUUGUGAUCUGUAAAUACUCUCCGGCUUCCCCUUUAUCUCUACAACAGGCAUGUGGUCCAGGCCAGCACUUUGAGGCCCCAACAGCACUUGUGUAACAGCUCUGGAUGCAGUGAUCCACUUGGAGCACCACUGACAUUGGGCUGUGGGGCCCAGUCUGCAUCAGGCCAAGGCUGAUUCUUGGUGUUUGGGAGCUGGGAUUUGCAUGCUGGUCUUUUGUGCAUCAUGGAUAUCUGAGAGGGAAGGUAGUGUGGCUGGGAGUGCAUCUGCAAAACAGGGGUGCAGGAGGUGGGGACUGCAUACGGUAGCUCCCUCACAAGGCUUUUGUGUAUUGGUUAGGGAUUGCUCCCGGUUGCUGUUAACAGAGACUGGAAAUAAUGGGUGGCUUAAACCAGAUCGAGGCUUAUCUCUUUCACAUAGAGGAUGUCAGGAGGUAGGCAGCCAGGGCUGGUGGGGGCUCAGCAGUGUCAUCAGGGAUCCAGGCAUCUACUUUCUUUCAGCCUCAUUAACUUUAGCAUGUGUUUUCCAACCUCAAAGUCACUUCAUACUCCAGGAUGGCUGCUGGAUCUCCAUCAUCACAUCUACUUUCCAGGGUGGCUGGACUUAGUGACUCACUUAUCACCAGUGGAAGGCAACAGAUGUGAUGUUUUGUGAUUCCUAAGGCCAAGUACAAAAAGACCGUGUAGUUUCUGCAAUGUGGUUCUCCUGGGACCCGUGGGGAAGCCAGCCACCACGUAAAAAGCCCCACCCCAGUGGCUCUGCCAUGCUGGUGGUAAGCACGUCACUAGCUCCAGCAGAGCUGCCACCCUAGGGUGGGCACCAGACGCCAGCUGUGUGUCCGAGCCAUCCUGGACAUCCCACACAGCCCAGCUGAGCCACCAGACGAUUGCAACCCCAGCUGGCAUUUGAAAGAAUGCCAAGCAAGAACUGCCCAGCUGAGCCCUUCCAGAAUUCCUGAUCCACAAAACUGUCUUGCUGAGGAUGUAGCUGGUCCUGGCUGGGAAAGUCUGAGAGCUGGUCCAGCAACAAGCAUUUCAGGUAAAAUAUGGCCAGGUUGCAGAAGACUCCAGCUGCCAGUGUAAGGAGUUGGCGUGUUACCCCGUGGAGUCAGAGCCUGAAAGUUUUUGAGGGGAAGAACAUGAGGAGACCAGCCAGUCAGCACCGCUCCGGUCCCUGAAGCAUCUGGAGCCCUGGAGCUGGCAGCAGGUUAGCUGUGACAGGCCUGGCUGUGAGGCCAGCGACCUCCAGCUCCCAGAGGCCUUCGGCUGCCCCAGUUCUGGACUCAGGCAGUAGAGGCGAAUCUGCCUCCCACCCCCAGCAUCCCUCUGGGCAAGCCAGAUAGAUGGUUUAAUAAUGCAGGCUGCCUGGUUGACCUCAUGGCUGCUGAGCCAGCUGAGACGCAUGCCACCCCACUACUGUGGCUGCAGGGCCCACGCCUGAGGCUCCAGAAGAAUCCCUGGAUGCAGAAUUUUGGAGCCCCCUGUAAGGUACUUAGAUGCAAAUGGCUGACACCCUGAGAGUAAGGGCUCAGCAGCCUCUGGCUAGUGGGCAGCAUAAGUCAGGUAGAUGUGCAGAGCCCUGAGCCUCCCCUACCCCCUCCAGCUCUCCCUGCUCAGAAGGCUGUGGGGAGGUGGUCUGUCACUGGGCUGUCCGUGCCUACAGACCUGUUCGCAGUCUGACCCUUGCAUCAUUGGAUGGGACAGUUCACGGGGCCCUCCCCAAGCACCCCUUCUGUACCUGGCAAGGGGCUGGGCAUCCAGGGCACAGACCAGGGGGGUCAGAUGUGGCUGACAUUCUAGUGGAAGCACCAGGUGUGUCCACAGGGCACUCUCAUUCCGUCCCUGUCCCAGGGCGUGCUCCAGGCCUCCUCUACUGAGACUCAUGGGGAGGCCGGCUGGCCAACCUCACCAUCCAGGAAUCUCAGCUCCAAGGCAGGUAAACAGGGUGCCAUCAGCAUCCCUAAUGAGGCUCUCUGGGGUCCCUCCCAUCACUGUAUCUCUGGGUCAAAGAGUAUCCACCCAGACACUUCAAAAUAUCCCACAGAGAGUGUGGCUUUGGCCUCCAGCCCUCAAGGCACUUUCUCAUGAGGGCCACAUGACUAGCCACCCCUUACUUUUGUCUAGCCUCAGCGUGACCUUUAGGUACAUUCUUCUGUCCCAUUAACUUUGAGCUGUCCUUGACUCGUGGGCUAUGAGGACUAUAGACUCUCAGAGUCAUAGAAUCUUUACGGAAUCAGAUCUUCCAGUUUGGCAUCCAUACCUCUAGUCCUUUGCAAGUCUAGAUGCAGAACACAGAACUUCCUCAGUUUCCCCCAACAUAAGUGAUUGAUCUCAAGCCCCCUGGGCCCCCAGGAUGGCUCCUGAUGAUACCUUCCCCCUAGAACCCACGCCCUGUGUAGUCCCCUCUCACAAUGAACAAGGUGGAUCUCUGUAGCCAAUGGGAUACUGCAAAACUGGCAUUGUAAGUAGGAUGGGCUAUACAAGACAUCAUGGCUUCCUUGGUAUCCUUGCUCUGGGUGAAGCAGCCACCAUGCUGCGAGGACACUCAAGCCAUCUGUUGAGAGGUCCAUGUGACAGGAACUGAGGCCUUCUCAAACAGCCAGUGCCAACUUGCCAGCCAUGUGAACGAACCACCUUGGAAGCAGAACCUCCACCACAGUCCAGCCUUCGGAUGAGUGCAACCCCAGCCAACAGCUCGACUCAACGUUCGGAGAGAUCUCAAGCCAGAAUCACCUUUUCCUAAAUCCCUGACCAUAGAAACUGUGCAAUAAUAAUUUUUUUUUUCCUGA